UACGUAGGCAGCGAGCGUUGUUCGGAGUUACUGGGCGUAAAGAGUGCGUAGGCGGUUUUGUAAGUUUGGUGUGAAAUCUCCCGGCUUAACUGGGAGGGUGCGCCGAAAACUGGAAGGCUUGAGUAUGGGAGAGGUAAGCGGAAUUCCUGGUGUAGCGGUGAAAUGCGUAGAUAUCGGGAGGAACACCAGUGGCGAAGGCGACUUCCUGGCCUGUUCUUGACGCUGAGGCGCGAAAGCUAGGGUAGCAAACGGG
rnacentral:rRNA from 1 species